rnacentral:rRNA from 1 species
UACGUAGGGGGCAAGCGUUAUCCGGAAUUACUGGGUGUAAAGGGAGCGUAGACGGUAAUGUAAGUCUGGAGUGAAAGGCGGGGGCCCAACCCCCGGACUGCUCUGGAAACUAUGUUACUAGAGUGCAGGAGAGGUAAGCGGAAUUCCUAGUGUAGCGGUGAAACGCGUAGAUAUUAGGAGGAACACCAGUGGCGAAGGCGGCUUACUGGACUGUAACUGACGUUGAGGCUCGAAAGCGUGGGGAGCAAACAGG